rnacentral:rRNA from 1 species
CACGAACCGUGACGAACGUUAUUCGGAAUUACUGGGCUUAAAGGGUUGUAAGGCGGCCAACUAAGUCGGACGUGAAAUCCCCAGGCUCAACCUGGGAACUGCGUCCGAUACUGGAUGGCUUGAAUUCCGGGAGAGGGAUGCAGAAUUCCAGGUGUGAGCGGUGAAAUGCGUAGAUAUACUGGAGGAAUACCGGUGGCGAAGGCGGCAUCCUGGACCGGCAUUGACGCUGAGGAGCGAAAGCCAGGGGAGCAAACGGG